rnacentral:rRNA from 1 species
ACGGCUCAGUAACACGUAGGUAACCUACCCUUCGGACGGGCUCAACCCCGGGAAACUGGGGCUAAUUCCCGAUAGGUACCCCCUUCUGGAAUGUGGGGAUAUCCAAAGCUCCGGCGCCGAAGGAUGGGCCUGCGGCCGAUUAGGUUGUUGGCGGGGUAACAGCCCACCAAGCCGACGAUCGGUACGGGCAGUGAGAGCUGUAGCCCGGAGAUGGGGACUGAGACAAGGCCCCAGGCCCUACGGGGCGCAGCAGGCGCGAAACCUUCACAAUGCACGAAAGUGUGAUGAGGGUACUCCGAGUGCGCAUACAUUGUAUGUGCUUUUCUGCAGCGUAAAUAGUUGCAGGAAUAAGGGCUGGGCAAGACCGGUGCCAGCCGCCGCGGUAACACCGGCAGCCCUAGUGGUGGCCGCUUUUAUUGGGCCUAAAGCGUCCGUAGCCGGACAGGCGAGUCUUUGGGUAAAUCCUACGUCUUAAGCGUGGGAAUUCUAAAGAUACUACCUGUCUUGAGGCCGGGAGAGGCUGGAGGUACUCCUGGGGUAGGGGUAAAAUCCUAUAAUCCUGGGGGGACCACCGAUGGCGAAGGCAUCCAGCUGGAACGGGCCUGACGGUGAGGGACGAAACCCAGGGGAGCGAGCCGGAUUAGAUACCCGGGUAGUCCUGGGCGUAAAUGAUGUGGGCUUGGUGUGAGCGCAUCGACGAGGUGCGCUUGUGCCGUAGGGAAGCCGUUAAGCCCACCGCCUGGGGAGUACGGUCGCAAGGCGGAAACUUAAAGGAAUUGGCGGGGGAG